rnacentral:rRNA from 1 species
AGCAGCCGCGGUAAUUCCAGCUCCAAUAGCGUAUAUUAAAGUUGUUGCAGUUAAAAAGCUCGUAGUUGAAUUUUAGGCCUGGCCAGGCGGUCCGUCUUUGGCGAGUACUGUCUUGUUGUCGGGUCUUCCUUCUGGUGAACCAGUAUGCCCUUUAUUGGGUGUGUUGGGGAGCCAGGACCAUUACCUUGAAAAAAUUAGAGUGUUUAAAGCGGGCUAUUGCUUGAAUAGAUUAGCAUGGAAUAAUAGAAUAGGACGUUGUGGUUCUAUUUUGUUGGUUUCUAGGACCACCGUAAUGAUUAAUAGGGAUAGUUGGGGGCAUUAGUAUUCAAUUGUCAGAGGUGAAAUUCUUGGAUUUAUUGAAGACUAACUAUUGCGAAAGCACUUGCCAAGGAUGUUUUCAUUAAUCAAGAACGAAAGUUAGGGGAUCGAAGACGAUCAGAUACCGUCGUAGUCUUAACCAUAAACUAUGCCGACUAGGAAUCGGGCGACGUUAUUUUCAUGACUCGCUCGGCGCCUUAUG